CUCACCUUAAAUGGAUUAGCUGGACAUGUCGCAAGACUUGGUUCUACUUGGCGUAAUAAGUAUUUCGCUGAGGACAUCUCCUUGUGGGGUGGCCAUAACUUAGGCAAACGUCUGCUUUCUAACUCUCUAGUUCCCACUUCAGGGACAAGAACUUUUUAUGAUCUGGCCUCAAAUCAGGUAGGACUACCCGCUGAACUUAA
rnacentral:misc_RNA from 1 species